rnacentral:rRNA from 1 species
UCGGGAAUUUUGGGCAAUGGGGGAAACCCUGACCCAGCAACGCCGCGUGAAGGAUGAAGUAUUUCGGUAUGUAAACUUCGAAAGAAUAGGAAGAAUAAAUGACGGUACUAUUUAUAAGGUCCGGCUAACUACGUGCCAGCAGCCGCGGUAAUACGUAGGGACCAAGCGUUGUUCGGAUUUACUGGGCGUAAAGGGCGCGUAGGCGGCAUGACAAGUCACUUGUGAAAUCUCUGGGCUUAACCCAGAACGGCCAAGUGAUACUGUCGCGCUAGAGUGCAGAAGGGGCAAUCGGAAUUCUUGGUGUAGCGGUGAAAUGCGUAGAUAUCAAGAGGAACACCUGAGGUGAAGACGGGUUGCUGGGCUGACACUGACGCUGAGGCGCGAAAGCCAGGGGGAGCAAACGGGAUUAGAUACCCUAGUAGUCCCUGAGCGGGCUGGCAAGGCGCAU